rnacentral:tRNA from 1 species
GUCAAGUUAGUUUAAGUAUAAAACAUCAGCCUGUGGAUUUGAUAAUGAAAGUUUUUAAUUUCACUUGACC